ensembl:lncRNA
CUGCGACCUUGAUUUUGCUUUUUUUUUCUUUCUUUCUUUUUUUCUUUUUAAAAAAAAAAAUCUACAUAAUCUAUUAAUAUAUGGUUUGACCUGUAUGAUUUAAGAUUUUUAUUUUUUUUGUUGUUCAUUAAUCAACCUGUUUAAUCAAACACCGAUGUAUUUUGCCGACUUCUAGUCGUCUUUCGAGUCGUCUGUCUCAAAUCCCAGAGGCCAAGAUGUUUAAGGCUGUUGUCGGUGUGAUUGUGUCGACGAUCUGAACCCAAGCAGGAGAAUCAUAACGUGUGGUGAAAAGAAAACGCUGCCGAGUCGAACGAUAUUUCAUGCUAGGACCUUUCCGGACUCCCGCUGAGGGGGCGAACAUUUCUCACAAUCUUCCUCGUCGAGAGGUUUGUGCAGAAGCGUAAGAAGCGUGAUUCUGAUGUGCUGGUGUCAAACACACAUGGUGAAGCUGUAAUAUCCUGUAUUACCCUCAGAAGUCCUAGUGUGUGUGUGUGUGUGUGUGUGUUGUGUUUUGUGUCAGGAAAUCAAACAGGGAUCCUUGAUUCAUUAGUUCUACCUCGUCUUCUAUCCAUCAGGCGUUCAAACACUGGACUCUUACGCUGUCUAGUUGUGUGCUGAAAAAUCCCUGACAGUGACUGAAGAUUUAUCCCUGAAUGUUUAGUCGUGGUUCUUCAGUCCUAAAUCAUUUCAGUUAAGGCCUGUUUCACUAUGUUUAUAUUCUUUCGAUGGUGCAUUGAACCAGAAACGCCAUCUAGUGGUCGAACCCGAUGACAUUUUGUUCCUGCUGGAUAAUCAUAAGCGUGUAGGUGUCUGUCCUUUGCAUGUGUGGGUUUUUUUUUUUUUUUUUUUUUUUCGCCCGUUAGCCAGUUUGCACGCACGACAUGCUUUAGCUGUUUGAUUUUGGACCUUCAUUCACUGAGCAGAACUUCAGAUCAGUAAUCGCUGUCACUGCACAUUCGGUUAAUGUGAAUGCUGGCUUUCGUCCAUCAUGCUGUUUAGUAUACACAGAGUAGAUGUGUGCAUCGGGACUGGAAACCCACGGAACCCAACAAAAGUCAUACAUUUUUUUUUUACGCUCUUUACUGCAGAAGGUUGGGGAAUACAGUAGAACCAAAUAAUUUCAACAAAAAAAAUAUAUUGCGGGCAUUAACGUAAAAAAAAUUUAAAAUAAUAAUAAUAACUGCAAGACCUGAAGAGAUUAGUCAAUAUUUCUGUAGGAGUAGACGGGUUGGUCAAACUUUAUGCAGUAGUGUUGGGAUUAGUCAAAAUUUCUGCAUUGGACAAAGUUUCUGCAAGAGCAGGAGAGAUUACUGUGGGAACAGGCGGGGUCUGAUUAAACAUUCUGUUUCUAUGGGAGUUGGAAGAAUCAAUCAAACUUUCUUCACGAGUGGAUGGGAUUGGUCGACCUUUCUGCAAGAGCAGGAGGGACUACAGUAGGAACAGGCGGGGUUAGUCAGAAUUUCUGCAGGAGCAGGUGGGAUUAGUCAGAAUUUCUGCAGGAGCAGACUAGGAAAGUUGGUCAGGUUUUCUGUGGGAGUGGAAGGGAUUAGUCAGACUUUCUGUGGGGUAGGUGGGAUUAGUUGGACUCUCUCUGUGGGAGCAGGUGGGACUAGUCAAACUUUCCGCAGGAUUGGUCAGACUUUGUCAGGGAGAGGGCGAGAUCGCUCAGAACUCGUUUGGGAGUGGGAUUUAAAAACCAGCCUCUGUGCACACUUCUACCAGUGAGACCUCGAUGCCUCUUCAUCUCACGUCUUAUCUGAUGUGCCAACAUCCUCCUGAGAAUGACUGCUUUCACAGUCCUCGUCUUAUGUGGAAUCUUUUUUUUUUUGGACCAUUUGGUUUAAUAGCAGUCUUAGUUUAAAUAUGUAAGUUCAAGAAGAUGUGGUGUAUUUGGAUCGACGUAUAACAGUGUCUUAUAAAUCUAUAACGUCACCCGUGCUGAGAUUUUUUUUUUUUUGUGAACAUGUGUAUGUACCCAUCUAUGGUAUGUAUGUGGUGUAGAUCUACAGGUGUGUGUUAUUCCUGUAGGUUUGGUUUUUAUUUCGCGUGUGCCGGGAGAGCACAGCCUAUCGCAUCAAUCUGCCAUGAUCUUUAGCUAGAUUCAUGGGUUUUUAAGGUAGUGCGGUCGGUGUAUGUGUACGGCAGAGCUUCUGGACAAACCGUCGAGAUGAUCUCUUACUCUACAGCCCUGAUUUGUUUCAAUCUGCCUUUCCGAACUGAGCAGUAUGGUAAAAGUGACUUGACGGAAUUGUGUUAGGAUGAGAUCCGCUGUCAUGUUUUGUUAUGAACUGUCUUCACCUCCUCCCGGUGACGUGGAGGACGGCCGGUCUGUGCAUUCGCUGUACGGUUUGUUCUCAUCAGAGUUCUUCACCUCACCGUACUGUAUAUUUUGUGGUGUGUUCCACUGCUCUCGCGCAUUCAUCCUCACGAAGGCUUCGUUAUUGGAUUGAAUGAGGUGAAGACUGAAACAUCCAGGUCUGUAGUUGGAACACAAUCUGAGACUGUACUUACGCUCGUCACUGGGAUGGUAUCCUCAAGGGCACAUCCUCGGUAUCUACCAUCUUGUCUUUCACUUAAAAAGUGAAUGUUUUUAAAUGUACCUUUAAAACUCGUGUUGCGUAAUUGGAGCACCGCUGUACCUUUCCAAAUGUGCAUUGUACUCACUGUUGAAGCUCCAGGCAAAAGAUAUACUCUGUAUGAAAGGUACUGAAGGUGUAUCCUUGAUGGUUUUUACAGUCGGUACAGUUUAGUCAUUUUUGUUUGUUUGUUUGUCUUUUAUGUCGAAAGUUAAAUGAACAGUUUGGCCAAAAAUGAAAUGUACACUUUUCACCUUUACCCCAAAUGUACUCGAUCAUCCAGGGCAUGUUUGGUGUUUGACGUUUACUCGACUUAAAAGACUUUUUGGGACGUGGUGGUGCAGUGCUCAAGGCUCUAGGCUACUACUCAGAAGGUAAUGAGUUUAAAUCGCAGCACCGACACACACUCACGGUCGGGUCCUCGAGCAAGACCUUUAACCAUUAAUUGCUCAGACGGCUCCCGUCUGAACUGUAGAUCAGCUAAUGAGACGAUUCCGGGCUCGGCGAUAACGUUUAUAAACAUGUAAACGACUCCACGGAGAAGAUGAUAUACAAAUUCAAUUGGAACUGCAUUAUCUUGAAAAUCACUUAGGCCACGCCUCCUACUCGAAUCCGAUGCCCAGAGUGAUCUCAAACUUUGCCGAAAAGGAGAGAUUCUUGCUUCGGUUUGGCCAUGUCAAUGUUUGUUAUUUUCGUUUGUUACUCAUCAUCCGUUUGUACAUUUUGAGUUCAGUUUAAUGAUGCAAGUAUAUGAUGAUUUUUUUUGGGGGGGGGCGGGGUUUGCACAACGCUAUCUUCAGCCACCAAUCUCCUUGGCUCAGUAACUACAAUUGUGGUAAUCGGGACAUCGUGUCAGUUUUCAUUUUUGGUGAAGUAUCUUGUUGGUUAUAACAUGGAUGUGUACUAUCAGUGUCCCUUCUCCUGUUCUCACUCAGACCAAACUGCUAACAGAGAGACGUGUGUUUAGUCCACCCUCUUUGUCUCUUGGUGAUUGGAUUGCAUGUGAUUAGUGUGGGCCUUCUUUUCAUACGAUGCACUUUAUCCAGUCUUUGAUGUUGUGGGUGACUGACAAUAGAUGUAUAUUUGUUUGUGUGUGUGUGAGAGAGAGCGAGAGAGAGAGAGAAAAUGUGUGCAUUUGAAACAGAACGGAAGUGAACGCCAACUCCUACUACAGACUACUCGGCUACUAUUACAGCGGAACGCACACCGUUCCUCACAAUCCAAAUACUCUCCGUUUGGUGUCCUUCAGGUGUUCUUCCUUCUUCUCUACACCCAACAGUUGGUCGUUUCUACUGUUUUUAUUUCAAACGGAUUCUAUGCAACUUGAGGUUGUUGGGUGUUUUUUGUUUUUUUUUUUUCCCCCCCUAAAUCUCUGGGUAGCUGGUAGGUUUUAGCUGGAAUGCAUGUGCGAGUUCCUCCUCAGGUCCUUCAGCGAGGAACCACAUCAGAGUUGCUGCUGUUUCAAGCAAAUAAUCUCUUGGUUUUAGGGUAAGAGGUAAUAGGUGUGUAUGUGUGUGUGUGUACGUUUGUGCACGUGUGUGUGUGUCUUAAAAAAAAAACAAAAAAUCAGUAAAUAAAAGUUUCUAAGUCAGUUGGACCUUGUUGAGCUUGCAGGUUUCUUUAACUUGAUCUUCAGGAGCCUGAAACAGAGGUAUGGUGUUAUGUAGUUAAUGGAGCGAGUGGUUACGCUGUACAAAAGGAUUUCAUCCGGAAGAUGUAAAGCAGAGCUGUAACAAAGCAAUUUCCGAAGUGAAAUACUGUACCAUUGAUGUAAAUGGAAAGAUUAUUUUAAAUCCUUGUAAAUAAAACUGUACAAAAAGAGCGAACGUGAGAUGUUAAUAUCAGUCUGCGAUGCAGGAGAAUAUAGAUCUGUAUAUCGGUGAAUAAAUCUUGUGCUGUAACCGA